UACGUAGGGUGCAAGCGUUAAUCGGAAUUACUGGGCGUAAAGCGUGCGCAGGCGGUUUUGUAAGUUUGUCGUGAAAGCCCCGGGCUCAACCUGGGAAUUGCGAUGAAGACUGCAAGGCUUGAAUCUGGCAGAGGGGGGUAGAAUUCCACGUGUAGCAGUGAAAUGCGUAGAGAUGUGGGAGGAACAGCCGAUGGCGAACGGCAGCCCCCUGGGUCAAGAUUGACGCUCGAUGCACGAAAGCGUGGGGAGCAAACAGG
rnacentral:rRNA from 1 species